GGUCCCGGACUCUUUCUUUCUUGCUUUCUUCCUGGUUUUUUUUCUUGAUUUCAGUGUUUUGCAGAGGUAAAAGAGUGAGAAAAGCUAAGACCCAAGAAGGCUAAGCCUUUUUUUGGAUUGGAUUUACUUUGAAGGAAAAGUUGAUCUUUCUUGGGCAUUUUAUUCUAUUGAAGAACAAGCAAGCAACUUUGAAGAUUAAGCAAAGGUUAGAGGUCUGGUGCUCAAGCAUACCAAAGCAUUAUUUACAUUUGGAAUUGCUAAUAGCUGUUCAGGGACCCUCAGAACAAGAAGACAUGAGUCUUUUGUAUAGUCCUAGUUUCAACUACCAAGAUGGAGAAUUGAGAAGGAAUCAAGAACUCAUGGAUUUGAAUCACCAUAAUUAUCAUCAAGAGCAACACCAGCAUAAUUCAGGCCUAAUGCGUUAUCGGUCAGCACCAAGCUCAUUUAUUGAGAGCCUUGUCAAUGGCACCAGUGGCCAUGGGGGUAAUGGUGGCGGCGGUGGCAUUGAAGUCGAAGAUUCUCAGUAUUUCCGACCUUCGAGCCCUGAGAUGGAUGCAAUGUUGGCAAGAUUUAUGUCAACAUAUAAUGGUUCAGGGGAUUCCAAUUCUCAGAAUUUGAAAGAAUAUGGAGAAAGACCAGCAAUGAAGCAAGAAAUGGAUGAUUCACAAAUGGUUUAUCAAAGUUCACCAGUCAAUAAUUUGGCUAAUAAUGGAAAUUCUGUGGAUGUCAGCAAUUCUCUGGAUAGCACUUUUGGUGUUAUGAAUUCAAUGGCUCUGGAGAAAUCUAUGCAGGCUUCAAAGAUGAGUACUGUGAAUGGAUCCAAUCUUGUUAGGCAAAACAGCUCUCCAGCUGUAUUUUUCUCCAACCUAGGCGUUGACAACGGUAUUGUUAUUUUUUUCUCGCUCUUACUUGAAUUCACAUAAAAAUUUUAAAAUUUAACAUGUAUAUAUAUGUGUGUGUGAGAGCGUUCACACGCGCGUGUUAUCUCUAGUUGUUUUCCAAGAAAGUUGGCAAUAAAUGGAAGAAAUGUACGACUGUAGGAGGAAUCUUAUUUUUUAUAUUUGUUUAAGAUUCCCUUGAAUUCUUGACGGGAAUGGUAUGAUGGCAUCUGAUUUUUCAAAUUGCAAAAAUUAAAAAAAAAAGAUAAAAUUGAGAAUAAAGGAAAAUGCUCUUUAGAUUUCUUUCACUUUUUCUGCAAUCAAACAUUUUGAGUUCUUGUUCCUGGCUUGGCUUGGUGGCAACAAAAAGAUUUGUUGGACUUUUUCAGCCAGAAAAGUUAAAGGUACCUCUAAAAGUUUUUUCUUUAAGCAAAGAAAAUUGACUUUUGGAAUUUGCUUUUUUUCUUCUAUUCCCAUUGAAUUACUCGAAUUGUCUGGUGAAAGAAAGAGUCUAGUCCAGAAUUACAGAAUAACAUUAGUCAAUGUAGCUGAGUUAUGUUUAUUCAGUUUUCUGAAAUCUUAAUAUUGAUGGUAAAGUCGAGUUUUCUAGUUUGAAUUAGAUCCUAAUUGUGUUCCCUUGAAAUAUUGAGUUCAGCCAUUAUGACUAAUUAAUUCUCUCUUGUUCAUUGCUUCAAGAUUGAUUCAUUGAUUAUUUUAUUUUAUUUUUUCCAAUGGCUAACAGGCUUCACUGUUACAAAAGAUACAGGCA
rnacentral:misc_RNA from 1 species